rnacentral:rRNA from 1 species
GAUGAACGCUAGCGGGAGGCCUAACACAUGCAAGCCGAGCGGUAGAGUCUCUUCGGAGACUUGAGAGCGGCGCACGGGUGCGGAACACGUGUGCAACCUGCCUUUAUCUGGGGGAUAGCCUUUCGAAAGGAAGAUUAAUACCCCAUAAUAUACUGGAUGGCAUCAUUCGGUAUUGAAAACUCCGGUGGAUAGAGAUGGGCACGCGCAAGAUUAGAUAGUUGGUGAGGUAACGGCUCACCAAGUCAGCGAUCUUUAGGGGGCCUGAGAGGGUGACCCCCCACACUGGUACUGAGACACGGACCAGACUCCUACGGGAGGCAGCAGUGAGGAAUAUUGGACAAUGGGUGAGAGCCUGAUCCAGCCAUCCCGCGUGAAGGACGACGGCCCUAUGGGUUGUAAACUUCUUUUGUACAGGGAUAAACCUAUUUACGUGUAAAUAGCUGAAGGUACUGUACGAAUAAGCACCGGCUAACUCCGUGCCAGCAGCCGCGGUAAUACGGAGGGUGCAAGCGUUAUCCGGAUUUAUUGGGUUUAAAGGGUCCGUAGGCUGAUUUGUAAGUCAGUGGUGAAAUCUCACAGCUUAACUGUGAAACUGCCAUUGAUACUGCAAGUCUUGAGUGUUGUUGAAGUAGCUGGAAUAAGUAGUGUAGCGGUGAAAUGCAUAGAUAUUACUUAGAACACCAAUUGCGAAGGCAGGUUACUAAGCAACAACUGACGCUGAUGGACGAAAGCGUGGGGAGCGAACAGGAUUAGAUACCCUGGUAGUCCACGCCGUAAACGAUGCUAACUCGUUUUUGGGUUUUCGGAUUCAGAGACUAAGCGAAAGUGAUAAGUUAGCCACCUGGGGAGUACGAACGCAAGUUUGAAACUCAAAGGAAUUGACGGGGGCCCGCACAAGCGGUGGAUUAUGUGGUUUAAUUCGAUGAUACGCGAGGAACCUUACCAAGGCUUAAAUGGGAAAUGACAGGUUUAGAAAUAGACUUUUCUUCGGACAUUUUUCAAGGUGCUGCAUGGUUGUCGUCAGCUCGUGCCGUGAGGUGUUAGGUUAAGUCCUGCAACGAGCGCAACCCCUGUCACUAGUUGCCAUCAUUAAGUUGGGGACUCUAGUGAGACUGCCUACGCAAGUAGAGAGGAAGGUGGGGAUGACGUCAAAUCAUCACGGCCCUUACGCCUUGGGCCACACACGUAAUACAAUGGCCGGUACAGAGGGCAGCUACACAGUGAUGUGAUGCAAAUCUCGAAAGCCGGUCUCAGUUCGGAUUGGAGUCUGCAACUCGACUCUAUGAAGCUGGAAUCGCUAGUAAUCGCGCAUCAGCCAUGGCGCGGUGAAUACGUUCCCGGGCCU